AUUAUCAAUAGCAGAAAAAGAGGAAGUGGAAGUGGGGGGCAGGGGGAAUGGGGAGGAGAGGGGAGGGAGGAGGGCAGAUACGUGAGGGGGAAGAGGGCAAAAUAUUUUUUCUCAGCUCAGAGGGUUUACACACAACUAAAUUUGAUUCUUAUUCUGAAAGUAGUCACAUGAACAUAAUACUAAACAAACUUGAGAAAUUAACCAAGUGAUAGAAUUGACUCUUAUAAACACAGCUAAGGCAGAAAGAAAUAAUUCAUGCUUUCAAAGUAAACUUUUUAAAAAUAUCAUUAAAAUAUAAAGAAAUGUAUACAAUAAACUAUAAAGUCCCUAAUCAUAUUCAUUAAUUCUCUCAGUUAAUUAACAAAUAUCCCUCCCUGUCAGUGGAGACACAAAGAUGAAAAACAAAUGUAUAUACAUAUAUGUGUGUGUGUGUAUAUAUAUAUAUAUAUACACACACAUAUUUUAAGACUAAAAAAAGGUUGGCGGUGGCAUGCUACUAUUUGGGAAACACAAUGAGCACUGCUCAAACCUGCUAACAAAGUAUUGGUAAAACCAGGUGUUGUGGUUUGACACAUAUUUCACCUCUGCAAAAAGCCACCGUAUAGAGGAUGAAAAUAACUACAUCUCAGUUCAUGAGAACCACGUCGAUGACAAUUCGCGAGGACUCAAGAAUAGGGCUGCGAGGGAGGCACAUGAAUCAGCUGUUCAACUUGAAUUUAAAAAGAGCACCCAACCAGCAUCUGAAGGAACACAAGUGCCCCGCAAGGACAAAACAUCCACCACAUGGAGAACUUUCUGGGCACCAGCUUCUGUCCAAAACAUGUUCAUUUCCUUCACCAUGAAGGUGCCUGGUUGCUGACUUCCAUAUAGCAACAUUUCUCUAAUGUUCCCUCACCAACUUGAAACGUCAAUAUGCUUCAACCCUCAAGUUCAUAAAACACUUGAUGAGGUACGGACCUAGCUAUAUCCUUUUUACAGGUUUUUAUUUGGUCGAGGGGCUUUAGCCCCUGGGAUCUCACUCAUACGGUGCCCUUCUCCGGCAUACUUGUCUUUUCUCCCACAUUAAAAAUAUUCAGCUAAUAUCACCAUCUCCAUACUACCAUUCAGGUAGCCAGCUCCACUACUCGCAACUACAGGAAACUACAAAACUACUGCUAUCCUUCCUUAGAGAAGUGAUCACAACUGAUUAUUUCAACUUUAAUCCAUCUCUCCCUCCCGUGAAAUGGUCUCUUGCAUGACUAUUAAAUUUUUAGCCAUUUAGAUAAUCCACACCGGGAAAGAAAAUUCUCCCCUCAUCUCAAAGGGCCCUCUGAGAGUUUUCUCCAUUCUCGCUCUUAUCAUUGGAUGUCUUUUAAAUCAUCUACCUCCCUAGAGAGGGGUACCUUUCAAAAUUCUCCUGAAUUUGACGACGAGGUUUCUCUUGUGUUUGAUCUCUCAGGAAGUUCAACUACCAAAGACUUUGUUAUCCUCCCAAACGAACAUCUCUAAGUCUAAAUUCUUGCUCUUUUUUCCCUCUGCAGAUAUCACAGGAUGGUGUACAGCAUACACAGGACUAACUCCACAGUUAGCUACGACCUACGGGCCCAUCAGUCAUCAAGAGGCAAAGAAUCUAUACAUGUAUGUGUAACUGGGUCACCAUGCUGUACAUAGAAAAGUGAUAAAACACUGUAAACCAGCUAUAAUGAAAAAUAAAUAAAUAAAAAACAUUAUAAAAAGUUAUCAAGAGGCUACGAUGAGCCACUUUUUUUUUAAAUUUGUAUAAUGAUUUUUAUUUUUUUCCAUUAUAGCUGGUUUACAGUGUUCUGUCCAUUUUCUACUGUACAGCAUGGUGACCCAGUUACAUGUAGCUGUAUACAUUCUUUUUUCUCACAUUAUCAUGCUCCAUCAUAAGUGACCAGACAUGGUUCCCAGUGCUACACAGCAGGAUCUCACUGUGAAUCCAUUUCAAAGGCCAAUAGUCUGCAUCUAUUAAUCCCAAGCACUGGAUCCAUCCCACCCAGCCCCUCCCUUGGCAACCACUCUUGAUUAUAGGAGGGCAAGCAACUUGAAACACAUCUAGUGUUCCAGCUCUCUUGAAUUACCCUUUAUACCUAGCAUCAGUUUGGUUUGGUUUGUUUUUUGUGCUUUUUGUUUUGUUUUGUUUUUAGGGCCACACCUGUCACAUGUGGAAGUUCCCAGGUUAAGGGUCAAACCAGAGCUGCAGCUGCCAGCCUAGCCACAGCCACAGCAAUGCCAGAUUAAAGCCAUGUUUAUGACCUACACCAAAGCUCAUGGCAACACAGGAUCCUUAACCCAAUGAGUGAGGCAAAACCGCAUCCUCAUGGAUACUAGUCGAAUCAGUAACCCACUACGCCACAAUAGGAACACCCCUAGGAGCAUUUUUCAAUGCAAAAAAAUUAUAUGAUGCAUUUUGUUUGGAGUUUCUAUUGUUCUUAGCAAUAUGCUGAAUUCCUGUAGCUAAACACUAUUUGACUGGUGAGCUCCAUGUCAAAUUAGAUGGAGUAAAAAAUACUAUGGUAUACUGCAAUACUUCCAAUAACAGCUAUGUGCCAGUGAGUAAGUUAGCUAACCUGUCUGGGUCUCAGCAUCAGCAUCUAUGAAAUUAAGGAGCUGAAACAUCUUCAAGUUUCCUUUCACUUAUAAAAUUGUGGACCCCAUGAAUCCUAAAGUUUAAAACUACACAAAACACAAAAAUAAACUCAAAAUGGUUUAAAGACUUAAACAUAAGACAUGAUACCAUAAAUCUCCUAGAAGAGAACAGAGGCAAAAUAUUCUCUGACAUAAAUCAUACAAAUGUUUUCUUAGGUCAGUCUCCCA
ensembl:lncRNA